rnacentral:rRNA from 1 species
CGCGUGAGAAUCUGCCUUGAGGAUGGGGACAACAGUGGGAAAUCGCUGCUAAUACCCAAUAUGCCUAACGGUGAAAUAUUUAUAGCCUUGAGAGGAGCUCGCGUCCGAUUAGUUAGUUGGUGGUGUAAGAGACUACCAAGGCAGCGAUCGGUAGCUGGUCUGAGAGGAUGAGCAGCCACACUGGGACUGAGACACGGCCCAGACUCCUACGGGAGGCAGCAGUGGGGAAUUUUCCGCAAUGGGCGAAAGCCUGACGGAGCAAUACCGCGUGAGGGAGGAAGGCUUUUGGGUUGUAAACCU